UACGAAGGGGGCUAGCGUUGUUCGGAAUCACUGGGCGUAAAGCGUACGUAGGCGGGCACUUAAGUCAGGGGUGAAAGCCUGGAGCUCAACUCCAGAACUGCCUUUGAUACUGGGUGUCUCGAGUCCGGGAGAGGUGAGUGGAACUGCUAGUGUAGAGGUGAAAUUCGUAGAUAUUAGCAAGAACACCAGUGGCGAAGGCGGCUCACUGGCCCGGUACUGACGCUGAGGUACGAAAGCGUGGGGAGCAAACAGG
rnacentral:rRNA from 1 species